UGCCUAAACUCAGCCACUUAGCUGGGCAUGGCACAAAACCAGUGGAGAGUACCGAGCUGUCGGUACGGCUUUCCUUCACUGGUCUAUAUCCGAAAGGGUAUAGGGGAGCGCAAGCUUCC
rnacentral:sRNA from 1 species